AUGGGGCUUCAACUCGAGGAGUACCGCGGCGACGACGACGCGCGCCGGGACGGAGGCGAGAAGGAGGAGCCCGCAGCAGCAGGGUACCGGACCCCAAGGCGCGCCGCGCGGGACAUUGGGGCGGGGACGGUCGGGGCGUGCCCGCCCGCGCCGAGGAAGCGGAGGACGACGGUGGCGGCGGCGCCGUCGGUCGUCGCGCGGCGGAGGGAGUUCUACGCCGGGGCCGACCUGGAGGCCUUCUUUGCAGCACACGACCUCUAG
rnacentral:rRNA from 1 species